rnacentral:rRNA from 1 species
GCGCACCAGGCGCGAAACCUCCGCAAUGCUCGAAAGAGCGACGGGGACUCCAAGUGCCUACGCUCAGCGUAGGCUGUUCCCGAGCCUAAAAGCUCGGGGAGUAAGGGCUGGGUAAGACGGGUGCCAGCCGCCGCGGUAAUACCCGCAGCCCGAGUGGUGGCCGCUAUUAUUGGGCCUAAAGCGUCCGUAGCCGGCUCGGUAAAUGCCUGGGUAAAUCGUCUGGCCCAACCAGACGAAUUCCGGGUAGACUGCCGGGCUAGGGACCGGAGGAGGGAGAGGGUACUCCAGGGGUAGGGUGAAAUCAGCAAGGUGAGUUGCUGAUGUAACUUGCCUUGCAAGUCACAAUCCUGUAAUCCCUGGAGGACCGCCGGUGGCGAAGGCGCUCUCCUAGGACGGUCGACGGUGAGGGACGAAAGCCAGGGGAGCAAACCGGAUUAGAUACCCGCGUAGU